UUGGGGUAGAUUUGGGUUUUCUUUGUUUCUUUAAUUCCUUUUUCUGUGUAAAACUCUUAGUGCUACAUGGUUGUACUACAUGUUUAAAAUUCUCAUCCUGACAACUUUUAACCCAAGUCUCAUUUAUUGUGAGUAUUAACAUUAAAAAUCAUAGAAACACAAACACUAAUUAAAAAUAAUGAAAGAAGAAUCCCUGAUGGCAUAAAAAAAAAACAUCAAUAUGAAUUUAGCAAAAAGCCACACAGUUAAAUACAGUCAGUUUAAAUGUAAAGAAAAAUGUCAAACUUAGUACCCAGAUAAAGAGAUGUCUGACUCUUCUGUUGGGUUAAAAACAAGUUUGAGUAAAAAUAAGUUUUAAAGGACCAGUUUGUGGACCAGGUUCAGAGGCAGCAGUCCAGCUGUAAGUUUGAUUCAUGAUUUAAUGCCUUUCACUCCCUCCAUAUCAGGCUUUAUGAUCAAUGAAAGGAAACAGACCUUUAAUAUAUUUAAAAGAUUGUUUCAACAUGUGAUAGGUGAGGCUGAGGACACCCUAAAGUGUGGAGGUUAGAGCUGCACCGAGGAGCUUAUCCAGGAUUUAGAACAAAAACAAACGGGUGUCCUAAAGCGAAGAGAGAGGCCCGUAUUCAUGUGUUCACCUGUUCAUGUGUUCAUGCUUAUGGGUGCCGAUUAAAAGAUGAGCAGCAGCAUUUUAUUAUUUGUAUGAUGAAUAUUUAACUUAUGAAUUACACUUGAUCUGGUGUUUGAUCGUGCUGCUGUCAGUGUAGUAGGAGCAUCUUUGGUUUGUAUUUUAACACUAGCUCUAAAUCCAGUUUCUUUUAUUACUGUCAGCAGCAUUUUAUUAUUUGUAUGAUGAAUAUUUCAGUCAUUUGCGUAUUUUUGUGAAAGUUAGUCAGGCUCUGAAGGGUAGUUUGAAAGGUGGUGUUGUAAAACUGAACAUGUGGAGGUGGAGGUAGUUUGGGUCGACUUCAGAGAUGAAUAAUUAUUGCAAAAAGCCAAAGAAACUUCACACCUGUUUGCACCUUUACGUCUUUAGAUCAUGAGUAAGUCUUCAGGGGCAGCACGGGUAAAUUUGAUCAAGACAAAUCAGCACAUUAACUUCUUUAUGUGUCGUCUUUGUUGGUUUUUCAGGAAUCAGAGUCGCUGCUUUCCUCACAGAGAGACUUCAAUCAGGUGGAGACGUCAUGAAACAAACAAGACCUGCAGAUACGGUGAGUGUUCAGUUCGACAUCUCAGACCUGAACUGGCUCCUUUCCUCCAUUCACACGGCCUCUUCAUGCAGACGGCAUGAGGGACUGCAGUGCAGACGUAAAGCUGCAGCUCUCUCUCUCUCUCUCUCUUCUCCUAUUAAAUAAUGUGUUGCACAUCUGCAUUGCUUAAAGGACAAACGCUCUGUUGUGUUGCUGCUCUGUUGUGUUGCUGCUCUGUUGUGUUGCUGCUCUUAACAGCCUCCAUAGUGGUUCAGUGAGGAACUAGUGGAUGAAUUUGCACGCGGUAAUGCAACUUCUGCGACACGUGAACAUGUUUGGUGUUGGGGGUUUAUCCAGACGUGUUCACCUUCAGAUAACACAUGUCGGCGGGUCUGUGUUGACCUUGUGUAGUGUGUCUUUUUUGUGCGCUCUGAUUGGUUUGUGGGUCUAUUUGACGGCUCAGGUUCUGAAGUGACGCUCCUGUGAAGUGGAUGAGUUAAGGUUUGGUCGUCUCAUGUCCCUGAAUUCAAACACUGGAACUAUAAAGAGAUUUGACUGAUUUCUCAGAUAUCUGGAUGAGUCAGAGUGUGAUGUUUUGGAUCUGUCUGUCAGGGAUCUCUGCUGUGUGUCUGUGAUUUAUAGUUUUAAUGCAGCGUAACACUUCCUGUUUUAUUUCCGUGGACUCCUCUGGGACGUCAUUCUCCCUCCUGACCAUAAAAAUCCAUAAAUUUCUCCUCGCGGAGCUCUGGAAUGAUGUCGCGUUGUUUGUGGCAGCAUUACCAUGAGAAAGCACCUCCGUGUCACCACACUUAUUUGACCUCUGACCUCUCCUUUGUACCACCCAGACAGCAAAUUGCUGCCGUGGAAGUCGGCGGCUCCCUCGCCUACCGCCGGGCUGCCGGUCCCGUCCUCUGGUCGGGGGAGGAGAGCGGGUGGCUGUCUCUCAAUCAGUUUAAUACCAGAGUCAAUUCCCAUACACCCCCCACCCCCAAAAACACACACCGUCACUCACACGCUCCCACACUUCAACC